rnacentral:rRNA from 1 species
GACGAACGCUGGCGGCGUGCUUAACACAUGCAAGUCGAACGGGCCUGCCUGGCUUUGGUUGGGUGGGUGAGUGGCGAACGGGUGAGUAACACGUGAGUAACCUGCCCUCUUCUCUUGGAUAACUGCUUGAAAGGGCGGCUAAUACGGGAUGUUCUGGCUGCCUCGCAUGGGGUGGUUUGGAAAGAUUCGGCCUGGUUUUGGUUGUUUUGGUGGGGGAUGGGCUCGCGGCUUAUCAGCUUGUUGGUGGGGUGAUGGCCUACCAAGGCGGUGACGGGUAGCUGGCCUGAGAGGGUGGACGGUCACACUGGGACUGAGACACGGCCCAGACUCCUCGGGAGGCAGCAGUGGGGGAUUUUGCACAAUGGGCGCAAGCCUGAUGCAGCGACGCCGCGUGAGGGAUGGAGGCCUUCGGGUUGUGAACCUCUGUCGCCGGUGAUGUAGGCUCUGCUUUGUGGGUGG